AAGUUAUAUAUUUCUUAUUACUAAAAUUUUGUCCUCUUUUUCUUUAAAUUUCUUAUGUAAAGGGUUUAUGGCUAUUGCGAAAUUUUUUGACUUGGGGAUGAGGAGAAAAUCUUCUAUUAUUAUUGUCCUGAGAAAUUGGCAAGCGUUACUUUGGAGGAUGGGUAUCGAUUGGCAUUCUCGUGCCGUUAUCCUGGCAUUUGGGCUGCUGGAAUUUGGGCUAGUCCAGGGAUUUGGGCUGAGCUGGGAAUAAUGACCCAAUAUUAUAAGCUCUUUCGUUGACAGAUGGCUCAACAAUAAACUGGAUCCUCUUUUGAGACCAGUUAUUACAUUCAACUGGCCCAGUACGUUUCUUGCCGCAUCAUGAUGGUAUGUACUACCAUGAAACCAAUAAAGUUUCCAUCACACUUGCCGGGGACGGUGCCCAUUGAAGAGCUCAAACAAGCAGGCAGGCACUUUAUGUAUAUGCUCGUGAAUUUCCUCUGGCAUGCAGCUCUGCUACCAACCGACGACGAGAAACAUAUGUUGGACAAAACUACGUUACAGACUCUGUAUGUAACAGCUCAAUGAAACUUAGUCUUGUAUCAGCUAAGUUCCAACAACUUUUCCUCUCUCCUGCAAGGUCCACAUAUGUUAUAUGUCAUCAUUGUUCAUUUAACUUACUUUUGGUGGAGUCAUUUCAAAAUGACAAAAUGAUUUGUUGUGUCCUUGAAAAUUUCCUCAAGGAAAUAUUUAACUCUCUCUCUUCAUAAUGGAUAUGAUGCACUCAAAUACAACUAGGGAUGCCAAUAGGGAAGGGAGGGAAGGGGAUCAAUCUCUCCGUACUCAUCCCCAUAUUUUGCGUAUGUCUCCAUCCCCUCCCUGUCCCCGUCAGAAUUAUUUGAGAGAAUCAUCAUCUCCUCCCCGAAUAAUAACAGGGGAUCCCCAAAGGUCCCCGAUCCCCGAAUAACUAAUACAUUUUUUAUUUUCG
rnacentral:lncRNA from 1 species